rnacentral:rRNA from 1 species
GACGAACGCUGGCGGCGUGCCUAAUACAUGCAAGUCGAGCGGACCGAACGAGAGCUUGCUCUUGUUUGGUCAGCGGCGGACGGGUGAGUAACACGUGGGCAACCUGCCCGCAAGACCGGGAUAACUCCGGGAAACCGGAGCUAAUACCGGAUAACACCAAAGACCGCAUGGUCUUUGGUUGAAAGGCGGCUUCGGCUGCCACUUGCGGAUGGGCCCGCGGCGCAUUAGCUAGUUGGUGAGGUAACGGCUCACCAAGGCGACGAUGCGUAGCCGGCCUGAGAGGGUGACCGGCCACGCUGGGACUGAGACACGGCCCAGACUCCUACGGGAGGCAGCAGUAGGGAAUCUUCCGCAAUGGACGAAAGUCUGACGGAGCGACGCCGCGUGAGCGAAGAAGGCCUUCGGGUCGUAAAGCUCUGUUGUGAGGGACGAAGGAGCGCCGUUUGAAUAAGGCGGCGCGGUGACGGUACCUCACGAGAAAGCCCCGGCUAACUACGUGCCAGCAGCCGCGGUAAUACGUAGGGGGCGAGCGUUGUCCGGAAUUAUUGGGCGUAAAGCGCGCGCAGGCGGUUCCUUUAAGUCUGAUGGGAAGCCCCACGGCUCAACCGGUGGAGGGGUCAUUGGAAAACUGGGGACUUUGAGUGCAGGAGAGGAGAGCGGGAAUUCCACGUGUAGCGGUGAAAUGCGUAGAGAUGUGAAGGAACACCAGUGCGAAAGGCGGCUCUCUGGCCUGUAACUGACGUUGAGGCGCGAAAGCGUGAAGAGCAAACAGGAUUAGAUACCCUGGUAGUCCACGCCGUAAACGAUGAGUGCUAAGUGUUAGAGGGGUCACACCCUUUAGUGCUGUAGCUAACGCGAUAAGCACUCCGCCUGGGGAGUACGGCCGCAAGGCUGAAACUCAAAGGAAUUGACGGGGGCCCGCACAAGCGGUGGAGCAUGUGGUUUAAUUCGAAGCAACGCGAAGAACCUUACCAGGUCUUGACAUCCCCUGACAACCCAAGAGAUUGGGCGUUCCCCCUUCGGGGGGACAGGGUGACAGGUGGUGCAUGGUUGUCGUCAGCUCGUGUCGUGAGAUGUUGGGUUAAGUCCCGCAACGAGCGCAACCCUUGCCUCUAGUUGCCAGCAUUCAGUUGGGCACUCUAGAGGGACUGCCGGCUAAAAGUCGGAGGAAGGUGGGGAUGACGUCAAAUCAUCAUGCCCCUUAUGACCUGGGCUACACACGUGCUACAAUGGGCGGUACAAAGGGCUGCGAACCCGCGAGGGGGAGCGAAUCCCAAAAAGCCGCUCUCAGUUCGGAUUGCAGCUUGCAACUCGCCUGCAUGAAGCCGGAAUCGCUAGUAAUCGCGGAUCAGCAUGCCGCGGUGAAUACAGGCCCGGGCCG